AUACGUAGGGUGCAAGCGUUAAUCGGAAUUACUGGGCGUAAAGCGUGCGCAGGCGGUUUUGUAAGACAGAGGUGAAAUCCCCGGGCUCAACCUGGGAACUGCCUUUGUGACUGCCAGGCUAGAGUACGGCAGAGGGGGAUGGAAUUCCGCGUGUAGCAGUGAAAUGCGUAGAUAUGCGGAGGAAAACCAAUGGCGAAGGCAAUCCCCGGAGCCUGUACGGACACUCAUGCACGAAAGCGUGGUGAGCAAACAGGAUUAGAUACCCUGGGAGUCCACGCCCUAAACGAUGUCAACUGGUUGUUGGGUCUUCAUUGACUCAGUAACGAAGCUAACGCGUAAAGUUGACCGCCUGAGGAGUACGGCCGCAAGGUUGAAACUCAAAUGAAUU
rnacentral:rRNA from 1 species